rnacentral:lncRNA from 1 species
UUCUAUAGUCAUUAUGUCAUUUGCUUUGCUGAAAAUGGAAUUGGAAACAGAAUUUUUGAGUGCACAUACAGGAAUAUUAAUAAAGUCUCAUCGUGGAAUGUACAAUGAGAAAGUGAAAUACAAUAUUCAUUCAAUUAAGGUCUGUAGGCAAAAUAUUGUCCUUUGGGAUAUAGAGAAAACCUGGGAUAUUGAACUGUAUGUCACAGGAAUGAACCUGGGGAAAAAUAUUAUCUAGAAGAAUCUCCUCCACUCUAUGUUGCUAAAUCUUUUCUAGCCAUGCUCAGCCCCUAACUUUGUCCAUUCAGAGCAAGUAACCCCUAAUGAAACAAAGAGAAAUCUCUACCUUUAGAGAGAUGUAGUGUGUAAAGGUUUCCACCCUUAAACAGGAGACUCUCCUGAAAGUGUCACCCUCAAAUUUGGUCAAUGUAAGGAAAGCUGUUUAGCAGGUAGACCAUGGCAGUUUUCAGUGACUUCAUUAGGCCUCGCUGAAAUAACUCUUGUAUCCUGGAAAGCCUUAGCUUCUUCUGUGAUGUCACAAGUGUCCUGACUGCAACCGCCUCUCAGAUAUCCCUUCAGGACCUCUAGGGUUCACUAAUUGGCCUUUAAUGCAUUGUAUACAGCCAUUUGAGAGGGAGAACACAGAGGAUGAAGUGAUCAGACAUGGGGAAUAUGAAGCUGGCCUUCUGUCUUGGGUAUCUUUGAACUUGGGACAUCUUGCCACAUUCUAGGUGCUGAGACUACAUUCAGGCAAUUUCCAGCUUUCUUUCCUUUAUCUUAGUAAGAUGUGUUAGAUUAAAUAUGUUAAUAUUAUGCAGUAAAUCCUCC